UUUUCAGGUGAGAAAUUAAUUUAAUGCAUACAAUUUACUUCCGUUACUAAAACUAGUUGUUCUUGUUUCCUUAAAAAUAAAACAGCUGGAAAACCAAUUAGAUACUACAUACUACUUGUUCAGUUAUUUUGAUAGAUUAUAUUUUGCACAUAAUUACAUAUCUAUCUUUGACACAUACCUUUAAAUAAAGCCUGAGAAGAGUUCUGUAUGAAUAAUAGCAUUAAAUUUGUUUGAAUUUCUAGUUUUGGUAAAAACAGCACUUAAUUGUGUAAACAUGUUGCCUUUAAUAUGCACGUAAAAUUGAAUUACGCGGGGCUUUCUUCAGUCCACGCCGCUAGAAUGCGCUGCAGUCUGGUGUCUCGCGCUUCGCCAAUGCUAAUUGGCCGGAGUUUCCCAUAUUAUCCUAUUACAAUAUUUGGCCGUAGCCUAAUCUAUGAGUCGUGACGUCACAAUAUGUUUGUUUAUUUCUACCCGUUAACAUGAAAGAGCAGUAGCGGUCCCAGGAAGCGACAAGGUAUCAUCAUUCUCGUUACAGGUUACACAUCCUCCGUGCCGUCAUCACCAGCGUAAAAAGAAAUAUACCAUUGAAAUACUUUUUUUGACGUGACAACAUCUAAUAAAUCGAUGAACACUGGCUGCACGCACGAAAAAUUGUCCCACUACGGAUGUCCCACUACGGAUGUGUCCUGUUUACGCAUGCGUGGCAUCUCUCUGGUAUGUUGCGGACGGUACAGAGAACUCGGCCGGGGUUCGAGGUUAUUGUUGUUCACUGCGCCACGGGAGUAUAUUCGCAAGGAAAUGGCGUUCUUACAACUUCAAGUGUUGGGCCGGGGAUCACGCCAAGGGCGGGACUCGCGGAUGAGGUGUGACGACGGUGACCCCUCGGCGAGCGAAUGAGUAAUGAGUGUUUAACAAGUUUUAUUGAACAAAUAAUGUGGCCUGAUGUCUUCUUUUUACUGUUUGAUGGAUUCUUGAUGUUUGUGAAUAAUUCUUGAAUUGUUAUUUCACGUAAGUUAUAAAUAUUAAUGUUUCAGUCAACAUGGAUACUUACAACAUACAUGAAAUUUUGAAAGGGUAAUGUGAUUAUUAAUUAAUUAAUUAAUUUUUUUUUUGCAUUUUUGAGAUGUAACACUUUGUUUGUAUUUGAACUUUUCAAUUAAAUGUUAAGUUAAUUUAACUGAAAAGUUAGAAAAGAGGGAGGGUAAUAUGCAUUGCAAGACCCGCUCUGCCCAACUUUUCAAGAGUAUUUUUUUUAGAUAUCUUAAUAUUUUCAAAUAAUACAGUGUACCAGGUGGUUAUAUAGUUCAAGGUUGUGGCAACUUAGUUAUGUAUUGAUAUUUUAUUGACAAUUUUCUGUAAGUGAUUUUGAUAUUUAAUUAUUUUAUUUAGACAAGCCAUUUAUAAAUGUUUUACUGGUGUUCAUUUUGUUUACUAGGUUAUUGUGUACAUGCAUUUUUCGGUUGUUUAUUUAUUUCAAAUAGAAUUUUUAUGUGCAUAUACAAUUUUUUUUUGUAAAGCUAUAAUUCUGUUUCUAGAACACUGUGUAUUGUGUUGAUGAAAGGAAGGACAAGAGGCAGGUGCAAGACUCGGCAGCGCCAAAUUUAUUAGACUUUUGUUAUGUGCAGACUUCCUAGUGCAUUCUAUUUGUUUUCUUAUAAUGGGAAAAUCAGCAGAUUUUCACUCCCACAGGAGACUGUAAAUUUAUCACGUUUUGUCACAGCCAAUCAGAACUGACUUUGUGUUUGAAUUUUUUUUACGCAGAAAAAGCCUGGAGGCGAUGGUAAAGAAAUUUCAAUACUGCUCUGUCCUUGUGAGAGCUGUGUUGUGAUUGGUCGGUGAGGACACGCACCUGGCUCUGACCUGAGCGGUGCUUAGCCUUGCUCGUCAGUCGUUGUUCGAGUACCGUGCUGAUGGGUCGCAUCGUUGGGCGGCUCACACAGAGCAGACAGUUUCAUGUCUGGGAGGCAGGGGCCGUCCGCUGCUAAGUUUUAACCUUCUUUCUUCUUAAGUUUCGACAUUUUUAACUGGUAGACCCUUGACGUGCGUGGUCUGCUGGUCCACCAGGACGCAGUUCUCAUGUUAUUGUUACCUAGUCGCUAGAAACACUCUUCCGUAGGCACAAGACUGUGAGUAGUAAUCUCCAAAAGUGAGUUUUCUUUCGGAGAUACCGUGUAAAGGACAUGUAACUUUAUUGUGGUGAGAAGAAUAAAAAAAUGCAGAAUUCAAUUCAAACACUUUUAUUAAUUUGAAUCAAUAAGUCUUUGAAUAAUUUAAUUAUCAUUAACUCAACUUCAGAGGAUAUAUUUAGCAAGUGUUUUUCUGUAUGUGCAAGGAAUGAUUGUCGUCUCAGCCGAGUACAAUCGCAACUUAUUACAAUAGAAAUGUAUUUUUUCAGGCAGUAAAUCCAUUUUUGAAUUACUAUUGAACCUAAUAAAAACCCAAACUUAUCUUUAAAUGUGUGAUUUGCAUGAACAUAUACAUAAUGAAAACAUAAACACAAAGUUUCAUUGUAUUAUUAUUAAGAGAUGCAAAAAGCAACAAUUCAAUAAAUUUCUUCACUAGACAUCACCACCAUGCAUAGCUGCAUCAUGCAUACACCACAGCUAGUUGCUGCAGAAUGCUACUGGUAUAGAGUAUGGCAGGCCAGUACCUGGGGCAGCGGGGUGCUCUUCUAUAGUUAUCUCCUCCUUCACUUGCUGGCACAGACCGGUACAGGAACACUGCAACACACACCAACCCUGUCAUCUCGGCUCCUGAUGCCUUGGCUCACCACCUGUAUGAGGUGUGCACAGGCGCUGCGACGGGCGAGGGAGAGGGGACACGUCCCCCCAAUAAUUAGUUGUCACUUUGCCCCCUCCCCCACUUCUCCAAUAAUUAUCCAAGAAAAUGUAUUUCAAUUAACCACAUUUGAAAUCUGGUAAAAUAAAUGAAUAAAUUGUGUAGCAUGAAUUAUGAUACACCUUAAUUUUGAUUACGUGCAUACAUUGAACCUUUAGGUUGGUAUGAAGAGGCGAGGGCUAUAAGUGAAGCAGGUAGGUCUACGCCUCACAUCACUGCCAAGACUGCAACCGUCCAUACAGCACCUCAAGAGACUUAAAACAUGUACUUAUUACACUGCACAGUGGAAUGAUUUUUAUGUUGCUAGGUUCGCUACGUACAGAUAGUUUGUCUGUGAUCAUGGUGGUGCUCGCGAGCCAAGUCAUGCACGAUGCCUCGGCUGUUACUGUUCCUGUCACCAUGCUUACCUCUCUUUCAGGCCACCUUCUAAAACAUGUUAAGGCCCUGCCAACAUGCAGUGCAAAGUGAGCUGCAGAGGUUUAACAGUCGAUUGUUUUUAUAGAACCUGUUUUUCCUGUGAUUAACAAUUUUGGAUAUGAAUGAAAUUAAGGUACAGGGCACAGCCCUAAAGUUGCUACGCAACUCUUAAAUUUACAAUUAUUUAGGAAAUGCAUGUGGAAUAAGGCUAAUUAGCACAAUUUUCAGGGGCAAACCAAUCCUUUCUCUUUCGUCACGUAUACAAUUUGCACCUAGUCAUAACUGAAAAUUAUGAUAAAAACCAUGACUUCUUCAAUGUGUGCUGCAUGAAUGUGCUCCCUGGCAUGUGGCUUCACCACUGCCGCUUGAGCCCGGCAGACACGGCGCUGCCUCUUCUUCCCGUUCUCUUUCAGUUGUGUUGCGCACACACAGGCUUAAUAACCAGGGUGGGCAUAUGGCCACAAGUCCCGCAAGCAAUAAAUAAACAUUGCUAGUGGCAGUUAAAAUAAAGGUCAAAGGGGUGGGCAUGCAUCAAGUUGGUCACUAUGUAUGUGUAUUUAUACUCAAAAAUCAUAUCAUAGCAUAUCAGGAAAAGAGAGUCCUUAAAUCUUAAAAGUUUAUAGCCAGAUGUUUUCUGCCUGAUCUCUACAAGUUCCUUAACCACAUUUUAACAAAACUAACCACCAGCUAGGAAGUGUUAUGCCCUAUUUUCGGGACACGUAUUAUGCUUUUAACAGUUUGCUGACUAUUCUAAUACACCUCCUCGGUAAAAUUAAGUAAGCAAAUAAUGAUGCUGUUGUUAUGUCUCUGACCAAAUAUGUUAAAUUGACCUUUUUCUGUAUUAGUGUUCUCUCAGUUCACAUACCUGAAAGUAGUAGAAAAUAAACACACACAAAAAAAAAAA